rnacentral:rRNA from 1 species
UAGAGGAAGUAAAAGUCGUAACAAGGUCUCCGUUGGUGAACCAGCGGAGGGAUCAUUACCGAGUUUACAACUCCCAAACCCCUGUGAACAUACCUAUACGUUGCCUCGGCGGAUCAGCCCGCGCCCUGUAAAACGGGACGGCCCGCCCGAGGACCCUAAACUCUGUUUUUAGUGGAACUUCUGAGUAAAACAAACAAAUAAAUCAAAACUUUCAACAACGGAUCUCUUGGUUCUGGCAUCGAUGAAGAACGCAGCAAAAUGCGAUAAGUAAUGUGAAUUGCAGAAUUCAGUGAAUCAUCGAAUCUUUGAACGCACAUUGCGCCCGCCAGUAUUCUGGCGGGCAUGCCUGUUCGAGCGUCAUUUCAACCCUCAAGCUCAGCUUGGUGUUGGGACUCGCGGUAACCCGCGUUCCCCAAAUCGAUUGGCGGUCACGUCGAGCUUCCAUAGCGUAGUAAUCAUACACCUCGUUACUGGUAAUCGUCGCGGCCACGCCGUAAAACCCCAACUUCUGAAUGUUGACCUCGGAUCAGGUAGGAAUACCCGCUGAACUUAAGCAUAU